rnacentral:lncRNA from 13 species
CACCAUUGCAUAAAAAUUAACCAUUUCUAUUCUUGCCAUGCUGGAAUUCCUAGAUACUUGCAAUCAGAGGUAAUGCUGUAUCUUCAUGAAGACAUCAGCAAGUACAAGUGUUUUACUCUGUAUUUCCUCACAAAAAAUUUAUGUUUCCAUGGUAUCCCAGGAUCUCCCACACCGAAAUAUGAAAGGUGCCAAAUAAGAGCUUUCCUUUUAUGAGAGAGAAAAUCCAUCAAGAAUUAUUGGUGAACUCUGCAGGCCCGUUCCCUCUCGCUCCCUCCUUGAUUAUGUGUAGUUUACAGUUCAACUCUCAAUGACCUGUGUAAGAUUACUGAAGACCCAGAUGAUACAGACAUACCGAUGGCACUUUUCUUGUAUAAAUUUUGGAUUUCUCCAUGAAGCAGAGAAUGAACUCCCAAAUAAAACAUCAGCAUGUUUAUUCUUUCCUCCUG